CCUGCAUAUGUGGCAAGUGUUGUUGUGACGAUAGUAUGGUUGGUCCCAAUGAUCCUUACCAUAAUAGUGACAAGUCCUAUCGCAUCCUAUUGUCGGAUCUUGAGUCACUAGCCUAAGCCUCUCGUUAUGCUGAAUCGGUACAACAGGCGCUGGUUUGCAAUGUGAAAUCAGAGGGAAGAUGUGACGAUUCUGGCGCUGGUUUGCAAUGUGAAAUCAGAGGGAAGAUGUGAUGAUUCUUACCUACUAACUGUGUUUCGGCCAGAACAGCUGAGUAAGUGUUGGGGUCAAACAUGUACAGCUGCUGUUUGAUCUCGAGACGGAGGCCU
rnacentral:lncRNA from 1 species